GCCUGCCCAGUGACCCUGUUUAACGGCCGCGGUAUCCUAACCGUGCGAAGGUAGCGUAAUCACUUGUUCUCUAAAUGCGGACUAGUAUGAAAGGCAUCACGAGGGUUAUACUGUCUCCUUUUUCUAAUCAGUGAAACUAAUCUCCCCGUGAAGAGGCGGGGAUAAAACUAUAAGACGAGAAGACCCUAUGGAGCUUUAAACAACAUAGCACUUGCCCUUAACAUAGAAUUUCCGAAUCUUACUCCAAAGCAAUAUGACUAUAAGUUUUUGGUUGGGGUGACCACGGAGCAAAAUUUAACCUCCAUGUUGAAAAAUCGAAGCUAAGAGCCACUCUUCCAAGCAUCAACACAUUGACAUCAAUUGACCCAAUACACUUGAACAACGAACCAAGUUACCCUAGGGAUAACAGCGCA
rnacentral:rRNA from 1 species